rnacentral:rRNA from 1 species
UGGGGAAUUUUGGACAAUGGGGGAAACCCUGAUCCAGCCAUCCCGCGUGUGCGAUGAAGGCCUUCGGGUUGUAAAGCACUUUUGGCAGGAAAGAAACGUCAUGGGUUAAUACCCCGUGAAACUGACGGUACCUGCAGAAUAAGCACCGGCUAACUACGUGCCAGCAGCCGCGGUAAUACGUAGGGUGCAAGCGUUGAUCGGAAUUACUGGGCGUAAAGCGUGCGCAGGCGGUUCGGAAAGAAAGAUGUGAAAUCCCAGAGCUCAACUUUGGAACUGCAUUUUUAACUACCGGGCUAGAGUGUGUCAGAGGGAGGUGGAAUUCCGCGUGUAGCAGUGAAAUGCGUAGAUAUGCGGAGGAACACCGAUGGCGAAGGCAGCCUCCUGGGAUAACACUGACGCUCAUGCACGAAAGCGUGGGGAGCAAACAGG